UGAAGAAGAUUCGUGGCCCACAUCUUUUCAUUGACAUGCAACUCUGGUUGCCCCCCCACCCCCACCCCCCGGCCCACGACUUCCCUUUCGCCGGCGUCCCUCGCCUUUCUCUUGGCUGCCGCGAAGGAGGUGCUGAAGCCGUACAGCGCUUGCCAUACAGAACGGCCGCAGAGAGGGCCAGAGACUGGCAAGGAGAGGAUGUGAUAAGUACGGCUAAGCAAUCGUCCGUUAUUCUCAAGCUUAGCGUCGCCUGGGAAGAAACAGAGAGAAAGACAGACGGACUGAAAUACAGACAGAGGAGCACAGAGGGAAGACGAAAACACACACACGUAUAUAUCAAGGAGAGCGAUGGGCGGUGCAGUUGCCAUUAUGUGUGAAGUGUCUCUACAACCCUGCUACCGUCAACACCACCACCGAUGCCGCCGUUACUGCUGACGUCUCUAAAACUACCAUCAUCACCACUGUCUAUCAAGUUGAUUUGAAUAUUUUAUAUAACAUUACAUUUAUGAAAAUCCUA
rnacentral:lncRNA from 1 species